rnacentral:tmRNA from 1 species
GGGGGUGUAAAGGUUUCGACGGGGGUAUAGAAACAGGAUAAGCGAGCGGUAGUUUGCCGGUCUACCUAAAAAAGGGCACGUUAAAUAUAAACGCUAAAAAUAACAACAAUUUCGCAUUAGCUGCUUAGUUCAGCACCGCGCGUCGGUUUGAGUUCACCUGUAGGCUCAUUUUCCGGCGACGACUAUACAGGAAAACUCUGUGAGACUUCCCGGCAUCACAGGGGAACAACGGGAUAGCGGCGAUUUGAGCCUGUUAAUGGGCGCAAAUCAAAGCGAAACUUUAAAACAUUAACUGCGCUCGGAGAAAGUUCUGCGGAAAUGCUUUCGGACGCGAGUUCGACUCUCGCCAUCUCCACCA